CGGGACGGGUGAGUAAUGUCUGGGAAACUGCCUGAUGGAGGGGGAUAACUACUGGAAACGGUGGCUAAUACCGCAUAACGUCGCAAGACCAAAGAGGGGGACCGUUCGGGCCUCUUGCCAUCGGAUGUGCCCAGAUGGGAUUAGCUAGUAGGUGGGGUAACGGCUCACCUAGGCGACGAUCCCUAGCUGGUCUGAGAGGAUGACCAGCCACACUGGAACUGAGACACGGUCCAG
rnacentral:rRNA from 1 species